CUGGUGUACCAGUUGUCCUGCCAAGGGCAUGGGUGGGUAGCGAUGUACAGAAUGUAUACGUGAUGAAAGCAUCGAAGCGCGAAGUCAACUGAAAGAUAAGAUUUCCCACCGCAAUGGUAAGGCCCCAGAAAGACUAUCUGGUUGAUAGGUCGAAGGUGUAAGUGUAGCAAUGUAUUUAGCUUAUCGAUUCUAAUAGGUCGAGGACUUGACCAAU
rnacentral:rRNA from 1 species